rnacentral:lncRNA from 1 species
CAAAACCACCCACUGGUGCAUUUCUUAGAGCCUUUCUGCAUUGUUAGUUACACAUGACUGUAGCUGUGGCUUCUACCAUUAGUCACUAAGCAAGUUAUUCAUUUUGAAUUGAUUUGUAUCUCUGAAGAUGCCUCACACAGACCUGCUGCUCUUACACUGCCCAGCUGUGCCUGCUAAUCUAGUUGAGGUGUGAGGAGACUUCAAGACCCAUUGACUAUUAAAGUGACUGAGUCAGGAGAGCUUCAGCGCCAAGUGAUAGCUACUACACUGAGUAGGGCAGCCACCAUGCCUGGGCUGAUUCUUCUGGGCCUUCAAAGUACACAUGGCCACAUUCAGAAUGUCUUGGUGACCUUUGAAACAUCCUAUAGGUAGGUAUCUGUUACUCACCAAUAUGUGACUGCCGAGUGCAUGGCUGCGGACGACCAGCUCAAAUCAGCAGACCUUUGUCCCCUGCCUGCAAGCCUAAAAUGUUAACCCCGCUUUUUUUACCCCCCUAUAAAAAGGAUCUCAGCCCCUG